rnacentral:rRNA from 1 species
GAUGAACGCUGGCGGCGUGCUUAACACAUGCAAGUCGAACGAACCUUCGGGUUAGUGGCGGACGGGUGAGUAACGCGUGGGAAUCUGCCCUCAGGAGGGGGAUAACGGUUGGAAACGACCGCUAAUACCCCAUAUGCCGAGAGGUGAAAUGAAUUUCGCCUGAGGAUGAGCCCGCGUCUGAUUAGCUCGUUGGUGAGGUAAUGGCUCACCAAGGCAUCGAUCAGUAGCUGGUCUGAGAGGAUGAUCAGCCACACUGGGACUGAGACACGGCCCAGACUCCUACGGGAGGCAGCAGUGGGGAAUUUUCCGCAAUGGACGAAAGUCUGACGGAGCAACGCCGCGUGAGGGACGAAGGCCUCUGGGCUGUAAACCUCUUUUCUCAAGGAAGAAGAUAUGACGGUACUUGAGGAAUAAGCCACGGCUAAUUCCGUGCCAGCAGCCGCGGUAAUACGGGAGUGGCAAGCGUUAUCCGGAAUUAUUGGGCGUAAAGCGUCCGCAGGCGGCCUUUCAAGUCUGCUGUUAAAGCGUGGAGCUUAACUCCAUCAUGGCAGUGGAAACUGAUUGGCUUGAGUAUGGUAGGGGUAGAGGGAAUUCCCGGUGUAGCGGUGAAAUGCGUAGAUAUCGGGAAGAACACCAGUGGCGAAGGCGCUCUACUGGGCCAUUACUGACGCUCAUGGACGAAAGCCAGGGGAGCGAAAGGGAUUAGAUACCCCUGUAGUCCUGGCCGUAAACGAUGAACACUAGGUGUCGGGGGAAUCGACCCCUUCGGUGUCGUAGCUAACGCGUUAAGUGUUCCGCCUGGGGAGUACGCACGCAAGUGUGAAACUCAAAGGAAUUGACGGGGGCCCGCACAAGCGGUGGAGUAUGUGGUUUAAUUCGAUGCAACGCGAAGAACCUUACCAGGGCUUGACAUCCUGCGAACCUUUAAGAAAUUAGAGGGUGCCUUCGGGAACGCAGUGACAGGUGGUGCAUGGCUGUCGUCAGCUCGUGUCGUGAGAUGUUGGGUUAAGUCCCGCAACGAGCGCAACCCACGUUUUUAGUUGCCAGCAUUUAGUUGGGCACUCUAGAAAGACCGCCGGUGAUAAACCGGAGGAAGGUGUGGAUGACGUCAAGUCAUCAAGCCCCUUACGUCCUGGGCUACACACGUACUACAAUGCUACGGACAAAGGGCAGCAAACUCGCGAGAGCUAGCAAAUCCCAUAAACCGUGGCUCAGUUCAGAUCGUAGGCUGCAACUCGCCUACGUGAAGUAGGAAUCGCUAGUAAUCGCAGGUCAGCAUACUGCGGUGAAUACGUUCCCGGGCCUUGCACACACCGCCCGUC